GCCGGGGUCGCCUAGCUCGGUAGGGCGCAGGCCUGGAGAGCCUGUCUUGCGAAAGCGGGUCGUGGGUUCGAAUCCCACCCCCGGCG
rnacentral:tRNA from 1 species